AAAGACAAUAUUGCCCCUUCUCACAUCACACAAUUGAUCGUCUCUUUCUCUCGACACAACUCUGGUUUCUCACUUUGUCGACUCAGCCAUAGAAAAGAGCCAAUGAUCUAAUAAUCUUCUCCCUCCAACUACACACAACCAUGAUCCCUCCCCAAACGAAUUAGCUCUUCAAAAAGCCAAUAAAGAGAAGCUUAUGGAGAAGUAAGUUUCAAUUUCUAGGGUUUUUAAUUUUCCUGAAAUUUAAUUUCUCCUUUUUAAUUGGGAUUUAGAGAUGGACAAGGUAGAAGAGAAAGAGAGUUUCAAAUUCUCAGGUUCGUUGUGGGUCAGCAAACUUACACUUCAUGUCUCUCUAAUUCAAAGGAAGCCUUCUGAGAAUCGCCAGAAUUUGAGAGGUGUCAAAACUGCAAGGAGCUUGUUCAUAAGGUAAGUUGGCUUUCACAUCAUGUGUGGCAUCAAUAUGAUGGUUGCAAAGGCAGAGACGUUCUGGAAGAAGUAGCAAUUUCAGACUAUCUUAACCCCUAUUUCCCCAUGUCAAUGCUUCUUCUUCUACUUUUCUUAAAACAUGAAACAAUAUGUAAACUUCUUCUUCUACUGUGUUGGGGAAACACGAAACAAUAUGUAAACUUAUUCUCGCUCUCAGAUUCAAUCAAAUAAAUUUGAGGUUAUCAUUGAA